AUUGAACGCUGGCGGCAUGCUUUACACAUGCAAGUCGAACGGUAACAGGUUAAGCUGACGAGUGGCGAACGGGUGAGUAAUGCAUCGGAACGUGCCCGAUCGUGGGGGAUAACGCAGCGAAAGCUGCGCUAAUACCGCAUACGAUCUGAGGAUGAAAGCGGGGGACCGUAAGGCCUCGCGCGAUCGGAGCGGCCGAUGUCAGAUUAGGUAGUUGGUGGGGUAAAGGGACUCACCAAGCCGACGAUCUGUAGCUGGUCUGAGAGGACGACCAGCCACACUGGACGUUUUUUUGAGACACGGCCCACGACUCCUACGGGAGGCGAGCAGUGGGGAAGUUUUAGGUACGAAUAGGGCGG
rnacentral:rRNA from 1 species